rnacentral:rRNA from 1 species
UACAGAGGUCCCAAGCGUUAGUUCGGAUUUACUGGGCGUAAAGGGCGCGUAGGCGGCGUGACAAGUCACUUGUGAAAUCUCCGGGCUUAACUCGGAACGGCCAAGUGAUACUGUCGUGCUAGAGUGCAGAAGGGGCAAUCGGAAUUCUUGGUGUAGCGGUGAAAUGCGUAGAUAUCAAGAGGAACACCUGAGGUGAAGACGGGUUGCUGGGCUGACACUGACGCUGAGGCGCGAAAGCUAGGGGAGCAAACGGG